CCUACGGGAGGCAGCAGUGAGGAAUAUUGGUCAAUGGGCGAUGGCCUGAACCAGCCAAGUAGCGUGAAGGAUGACUGCCCUAUGGGUUGUAAACUUCUUUUAUAAAGGAAUAAAGUCGGGUAUGCAUACCCGUUUGCAUGUACUUUAUGAAUAAGGAUCGGCUAACUCCGUGCCAGCAGCCGCGGUAAU
rnacentral:rRNA from 2 species